rnacentral:tRNA from 9 species
UCGUUAGCUCAGUUGGUAGAGCAGUUGACUUUUAAUCAAUUGGUCGCUGGUUCGAAUCCAGCACGA